AAACGGGCUCUAUCACUCCGCCCAGACGCAAGGUGCGGGAGUAAUCAAAGUGAGGCAGAACUGGAGGGGAGAAGGGGCAGCAAGGAUGCGGUACAGCGGGAAAAGACAAAGAGCACAAAGAGAUAACAGAAUUACACAAUAUGCUCUGCUGUUGGGAGGACAAAUAAUGGCGUGCUUCAAGACAGCAACUUGGCAAAAUCCACUCGAGCAUCAAAAUGAGCAUCUCCUUUGACCCUGUUCACCGCUUUUGAGAACUUCCUCCUGAAGACAGCCAGACGGAGACCAAGGAGUCCUGAUCAAAGGUGCUCAGCACCACGUACCACUACUAGAGAAAAC
rnacentral:lncRNA from 1 species